UGAAGCUCCCACCAUAGGGUCUGCGACGGGUAAUCUGUAAAUUGUGAACUCGUGCUGGAUUUAGUUCUUGAUCGAAACUGUUCAGUUAGUAGAACUUAUCAAGAAAAUUAACAAUGUUGAAGAUCAUGCUAAUCGAGUACAAAUUAUUCAAUAAUCAAAGAUGAUCGGUGUAAAUUUAUUUUUCUGAAAAUAGUUUUGGCUGCACUGGAUCACACCCAUGUCGUUUCUUUUUCAGUACUCCUAUUACGGGAGAAAAUUCACUCCGCGGAGAGAGAGAGAGAGAGGGAGAGAGAGAGAAAGCGAUUGUGUGGUUGUUCAGCUGGAGGAAAGGGCCUUCGGGAUUUUGCGUAGUUCAGGAAGGAAUCCAAUGGACUUGUCCCACUGCCAUUGUAACAGGAUGGUGCUAGUCUCGAGGCUGCACUUGAUUGGCUAUACUUGAAUUUGCCUGGGAAUGAGCUUCUGCUGAAGUUUUCUACUGGGACUUCUCUCAAUACAAAUGAAGGGCGGGACAUGGAGAAUUGUGCUUAACAUAAGUUCCUUAAUAUCGAUCAUGCUAGGAGGUGCCGUUGGGAUCAUAUCAACUUCAAGAAAGGAUUGGGGUCCUUCAAUGGAUUCAUCUGCCAAGAUUGAGGAGGAAACGCCUGAACUUAAUGUUAGAAUCAAGGGGCGUUCAGAUGAUAAUACUCUGGAUUCCUGCCAGCCUUCUCAAGCAGUUUGGAUACGGAGAUAUCUGAAAAGUAGAGGACGGUGCUAGUCUCGAGGCUGCACUUGAUUGGCUAUGCUUGAAUUUGCCUGGGAAUGAGCUUCCACUGAAGUUUUCUACUGGGACUUCUCUCUAUACAAAUGAAGGAGGUGCUGUCGGGAUCAUAUCAAAUUCAAGAAAGGAUUGGAGUCCUUUGGUGGAUUCAUCUGCCAAGAUUGAGGAGGAAAUGCCUGAGCUUAAUGUUAGAAUCAAUCUGAGAAUAUUCUGUUUUAAAUGUCCAGAAAGUCAGCAGUGAAUGUAAUUGAUGCCAAGACAAUGUCAGCUGAUCCUGUUGCAGUGGUUGAAUUACCAAAUAGAGUUCCUUAUGGAUUCCACGCCCUUUUUGUUAUAGAGGAGCAACUUCAAGAACAAGCGAAACUCUGAACCUUUGAAGUGACGUAAUUAUCAAAAUGGUUGAAGUAGAGUUCCAAGGGCAUUGGGAGACUUUUUAUGUAUGUGAAGUUAGGCAUUCUCGAUGGUCGGUUUACUCUACCAGUAUUGUAUCUAGACAAUAGAAGUAUUGUAUAUGAUUUCUAAAAAUAUUACGAGACAGCAUUAUACCUUACCAAUGCUACUUUGAUAGGUUACUUUGCUGUAAUGAAUUGUUGUACUUUCCGUA